rnacentral:lncRNA from 1 species
GGCAAGUGACUGAAGUUCUCAGUUUCCUCAUACCAUGAGUGUGAGGUUAGUACCUGCCACAUUAGGUGCGUGGGACCCAAUCAAACGUAAAUGUGUGAGGCGCCCACUGCCAGGUUCAUAAUCACUGCUCCGUGGCUGCUGAUGGUUCUGAUGCUUAUCAUGACCGCUAGGAGCUGGAGAUAGAUCUUGAGAUCUCUUCUGCCCGGGUCAUGGGUAAACAUGAUGGAUAAAAUUAUGUGAACCAGAGUUUGAAUUUUGGCUUCUAGUUUUGUGACUCCCCCUUUCUGAGCUCUCGUUCUCAUCUGUAAAGCGGAGCAGCGACACCACUGUUCACAGGCUUGCUGCGAGGAUGGGAGGCAGCAGCGAGGGGACGGAGCCCUCCCAGCAGUAAACCGCAACUGUGACCCCCUAAUUCAAAGCUCCUCCCCUCGGCGGCAGCGAGGACAACGGCUUUCAGUUUGAAGAAUGGUGGCUGUUACACUAAGAUGGAGCCAGAGCAUCUCGGGAUGCUGUCCGACACUCCGAGGGCAGCAGAACUCUCGCUGGGUGGCUGAUGGCAGACCCAUUCUCUUGCCUCGAAUGCAGCAGACUGACCGCUUCCAGUCCUGUGCUGUCCCACUCCGCAUGAUCAGCAGUGGACGAUCACAAUGGGAAUGGCCGAAUGAACAGGAGAACAUGCAGCCUGCAGUCUCUGGUAUGUGCCAGGGACACAGAGAUAACGGGAAAUGACGAAUGAGGCCAAAGCCAGCUAAAGAUGGGACUCCAGUUUGGCAUGUAACUGAGAAUUCUCCUCUGCUCUUGCACAAUGACAGACAAGGUCUCGUGGCCUUGAGGUGGGUCUGGGAAGGGGGUGAAUCUGGCUGGGCAGCUGGGGGCCAGAGUCUAAUUGAGUCCCCUGCUUUACCACCGAGAUCCUGAUGUCCUUGGUCCUCAGCUCCUGAGUGAUUCUUUCUAUAUCCCAGUGAUAACCAGCAUGACGUGACAGGUAGGGGGGAGGGGACACCCAAAACUCAUUGAUGAGUUCUGGCCACAAAGAAACUUCUGCAAAUGGAAAGAACCAUUACACACUUGCACACACACACACACACACGGGCUAUUCAUUUUAGAAAAAUCAUGGUCUAUUUGAUGACGGCUUAUGUUUCUUUCUAAAUUGAGUUCAAACUGGCAUAAAAACAUGUAUUUUGCUUUGUCCUUUGGCCUCUCUUCUUCUCAUUAUCUGAUAUUCUUUUGAGGAUCAGAUGCACGUCUAUCACAGGGAACAGGAACACCGAGGACAGGCAGCAAACAGCUUGGAGUGGUUACAAGGAUGAGCUUCCAGAGUCACGGGGCACGGGGCACCCAAGGCCUCGGGCACGUGGCAGAGCACAUUUGUUCCUUAAAGUCGGUAGGAUCCAGUCUGUGUUUUGAUAACAUUGCUCUGAAGGAGGCUCCGUCCCUUCUAAGUCAUGCCCUGGAGCUUAGUCCAUCAUAUGGCUCCUCUUAUUUUAUUCACAGCACUUAUUCUUACCUUUACCUCAUUGUCGAUUUGCUUAUAAUCUCUCUCCUCUAGAAGAAAGAGAGUUUGACAAGAGCAGCCACCUUAUCUGUCUUGUUCACCCACGUUUUCCCAGCUUAGAGCAGUGCCUGCCAUAGUGCAGGCACUUGACAAAUAUCUAUUGAAUGAAUGAAUGAAUGAAUGGCCCUCAGCCUUGCCUUCUUACUUAACACAAGCCUGGGGCAACCACGAUGCAGCCGAGGUGUACCAUCAGGAGAUCCAGUCUGCUGCCCCAGGAAAACCCCUAAAAUGGACUUUCCAUACCCACACCACAACAUGGAUGUCAUCUCCCCCAAACAGGAUAGCUUCGAGCGUGCAUUCAGUUCACGCAGGUGAAAAGUUCCCACGUGUUUUCUGGCACGUGGCAGGAGUUUGCCCAGGCAUUGCUGAAUCCAACACAGCUUUUAUCAUUUCCCCCAUUUCAGAGAAGAAAAGACUGAGGCUCAGAGGUGGACAGAAGUGGUAAAGCCAUGACUCAUGCCCCUAUCUUCUGAUUCUCCGAUCACAGCUCUUUCUGCCUCUUUAUGCCAUUUUUCUAGAACAAUCUCCCACACACACACUCAGUGCAUGUUAGUGGUUUAAGCUUACAUUUUUUAAUUUAAAAAAAUUUAAUUUAACAUUUUCCCCAAACAAACGCUUCAUUUUUCUUCUCAGCCAAGGCGUAUUCCCAAGUAAAGGCUUCAGAUAGACAGAUGGAAAGAGGGACAAGGGUCAUUUUCUACAGAGGGCAAUCUUUCUGGCAGGUCUUAGGGGGCAAACCCUGAACCCAGGCAUGCGGUGGACCCGGGGGACUCCCCCAGUCCUCCUCUCCCUCCUUUCCCCUGGAAGGGCAGCUGGGUCCUCUGGGCAAGCUGCAGAGCAAGGACCCUCCUCCCUCUUAGCUUCCCUCUCAAGCCUCAGUGGGAUGGGGACAAACGAUUUCUCUUGCAGGCGAAGAUCGGGCAGAGGUUUCUGGGCUGUGCCAAGCCACGGUUUUGUUUUACCUCGUGAUGAGGAACAGCUGUGUCCCAAAGGGGCGGCACCUCGCCGCCUCCGCAGUGUUUUGAUAAGAGGCGCGGGGUUGGCGAGUGUGGACGAGAUGAGGAAUCGCGUUUCUCGCAACAGUCCUCGCGCUCCAGGUCACGAGCUAAUCUCCUUUGGGAAACCGAGACCAGAGAUGGGCCUCCCUCUCUCCCUGCUAUCUCAGGGUAUUUUCUGUCACCAUGGAGAAUGGUAGAGGCUGGAAAAGGUCAAAAGGACACGGCCUACGAGCUGAGGCGGCAGAGCAGUGAAGCCUGUUGGAAAGUGCCAGCAUCCAAGAGGAGGAUGGUGAGAACCGUAGAGCCGGGUGCCGGGUCAGUCGGAUGGACACGGGUUCCAAGGCCACCUCUGUGCCGCCAGCUGUGGAUGUCCGAGUCUCAGUUUCCAUAUCCGUACCUAAAGGGCUGGUAGGAGUGAACGAGUUGGGCUGUGCAGGGCCCUUUGGUGUUUCAGGCGAUGUGAGUUGAAGAAGGAAUGAGCGCUUGGUCUUCAGAAGGGGCAGAGACGAGCCGCCAGGUCGGGUCAGAGUCACGGUUAACAAGCUCUCGGCUCCUCACUCCGUCGCUGUUUGGUUUUCACUGCGUCGCGAUUUUGCAGCUUUCCCACUCGGACCACCAACUUUCCUGAGCGUUUAGCCUUCUCUGCCGGCUGCCGUCCCCUCCCUCUCAGAGUCCCCCACCCCCAUCCGCAUCUACUUGAUGAUGACAGGAAUCGCCAGGGGCACCAGGCAGCUCAGAAGUAUACUCCAGGACAUGGCUGUCACACUUUUCUUUUUUCCUAAGACCCACAGUAAGAAAUAUAUUAAUAAAUUUUGCAUUGCAAAUCAACCCACACAUACAUAUAAAUGACUGAUUAAAGAAAUUUCAUGAAACACUCCCCGUCCUUCUUAUCUGCACUCUAUUAUUUUCUUUUCCAUUCCACUUCAUUCCAUUCUAUUCUACUUUAUUUUGCCUUUGAAAGUGCUGGUUACCACCCAGUAAUCUAGUUCAUUAACCAGCUGCCAGUUUGAGAAACACUGGUUUCCGGUGGGACUGCCAUGCCGUUCUCUCUGUCCAGUUGUGGACUGUAUCAGUGGCCCUAGAAACCUGUGUUCCAAUUCACAGCCUAAGAAUCAUCAGGGGCCUUGAUAAAUGUACAAAUUUCCAGGCUCCAUCCCCAGAGAUUUGACAGCGUUUCAGAGACUGGUCAGAACCAGAGUGUCUCGUGGGGUCUCCCUGGCACUGAGAUGGAGAUUCUGAUUCCAGGGAGAAAGCUUCUGAUUGGUCUAGAUGGGUCAGAGAAGGAAGAUGCCUUGAUGGGCAGUCCCACCAACACUGUAUCCCUUGGGGUGGGUAGCUCCCCAAAGUAAGUAGAAGAAAGGGUGAUGGAUGCUGCCAGGGACUGUUUGUGUCGCCCCAAAAUUCAUAUGUUGAAAUUCUGACCCCGAAUGUGAUGGUAUCUGGAGGUGGGGCCUUUGGGUUGAUUAGGUCAUGAGGUAGAACCCUCAUGAAUGGGAUUAGUGCCCUUAUUAGGAGACGCCAGAGAGCUCUCUUGUCCCUUCUGCCAUGUGAGGACACAGGGAAAAGAUGACUAUUUAUAAACCAGGAAGCAGGUCUGACUAGACUCUGAAGCUGCCAGUGCCCUGAUGUGGGACUUCCCAGCCUCAAGAACUGUGAGAAAUAAAAGUCUGUCGUUUAAUAAGCCACCCAGUCUAUGGUAUUCUGUUUUAACAGCCCAAACAGACUAAGACGCUGAGCAGGCAACAUCAAUGUCCACACAGAGACUGUUCUAGAACACCUAGGUAACAGUUUGCUAAGCUCUCCUCUGCUGCUUACAUUCUCCCGUGUGCUUUCUGGGGUGCCUAGCACAGUGCGCGCGGCAGGCAUCCAACGCGUGUGGGUUGCAUGAAAACCAACGUACAGUUGCAUUUUGACCACGAGUCUUGGUCAAAAUGAUUGGGUUUUUGACCCUGUGCUUCAUGUACACAAUUGAAGACAAAAUCCCUGAGGUCCAGUGUCUACUGAUUACAACAGAGUCCAGAAGAUUUUUUUUUUAAUUUUAUUUAACAAACUCUUACCAUGUACAAGCCAGUGUUCUGAGAGCCUUACAAAUAUUAACUUAUUAGGUCUACAUAAAACCCUCUAAGAGAGGUCCUAUUACAUGCCAGGCACUAUCUGAGGUAUUGUACCCAUGUGCUUCUAAGAUUCACACCUCUCCUGUAAGGGGCAGCGAUUAUUUUUUUCCAUAGGCGGACACUGAGACUCGGAGAGGUUAUAUAACUUGUCAUAGGCCCCACAGUAAGCAGCAGAGCUGCACUUUGAACCCUAGAAAGGAGGAAUGAGUCAGGCCAGGAGAAUCUUUGAAACUGCAUUUCAUCCUAGAGAUACCAGUUAGCUCUUGCAUGCUAAGAACAGCCACAGGUUGAAAUGCGCCAAGCCCUGAGGGAAAAAGAGCUCCCUUCUUACAAACAGAAACAGAGACAUGGAACCAAAGUGACUCACAGAAGUUCCCGCUGUGGACAGGACGCCGAUCAACACAUGGAACCUCCAGUGGCUGGCUGGGCAUUCCUAUAGCUUCGAUGUGCCCUCAUUCUGUUAAAAUGCAGUGACAAGGAAAUUCAUCACUGCUCACAUGAUUUUUGUUUUCCAAUGAGAGGAAGAAAGCUCUAUUCACUCACGGAGAGUUUUGUUCAAACAUCAAGCUCUAUUUUAAUUUUCUAGUGGCCAGUAUUGCAGUCAGCCACGCUUUAAAACAAUGACCCCGAAUUCCUCUUGCCUUCAUUGCAGUGACAAUGUUGUUACAGCUGACUAAUACUCUUUCUCAGUCUGUGUGGCUAACCAGCAUUUUCUGAGUUAAAUAUGUCUCUCAAGGUUGUCCCAGGUAGGUUCUGGGAUGGAAACUCUUGCUCCUAAUUUGGAAAAACGGUCCCUAGGGUCAUUUUUCAAUAAUAAAUAACAAGUAUAUAUUUAUUAAUAAAAAUAAACAAGUGGCA